GCCUGAGCCCAUGGGCGGGGUGGAACCUCAGCAAGGUCUCUCUCCAUUGAGUGUUCAGGCAGAUGGUUUUCCUGCCAGGUUUUGAGGAAAGCGAACACAGAGCUGGCUUACCCACCACAAUUUCUCCAGUUUCAGGUCAAGAGAAAUAUCCCACAGAAAAAUCCCCAGAGCAGGCCCAGAGUUCGUCCCGUCACUUGACGAGUUCUACACUGUACAGACAGCAUCCUCUGGCAAAAGGGGCACCACACAUACUGAGUGGGUCUCCUGACCACUGCCAGGGCUAGCAAUGGCUUCCGUCCCACCCAACGUACACAGAGUGCGGUGAUUGGCCAGGGGAAAAUGCAGGCGGCUGCAGUGCAGACGAAAAGAGUAAGGAAAUGGGGCCCAGAUGUUCAGUGCAGUAGUGAAAGCAAAUGGGUGUUGACAUAACUCACAUACAGGAUGUAAAGUGACAAAGAACGACGCGAGCAGAGAAACUUCAGUUCUACUGGCCGGCUUAUAAAGAAAUCCAUCUGCAGAGAUCCACGGCUGAGCCCCAGGCGGAGCUCCAGGAGCCCAGUCGUCGAGAGAGAGGAGGGACUGCACGAGCGAGAGAUAUUGAG